GUGAAGAACUCUGGAAUGAGUCUUUGCCAAAAAGACGUUUACGUUAUGCUCGUAGGCGUCGCCCAAGGAUGAGGCCGCGACCGAUCAGGUUGUUGGUGAGGUAAUGGCUCACCAAGCCUUUUACCGGUGCGGGCCGUGAGAGCGGGAGCCCGGAGAUGGGCACUGAGACAAGGGCCCAGGCCCUACGGGGCGCAGCAGUCGCGAAAACUUUGCAAUACACGAAAGUGUGACAGGGCUAUCCCGAGUGCCAUCCGCUGAGGAAGGCUUUUACCCAGUCUAGAACGCUGGGGGAAUAAGGAGAGGGCAAGUCUGGUGUCAGCCGCCGCGGUAAUACCAGCUCUCCGAGUGGUGUGGAUGUUUAUUGGGCCUAAAGCAUCCGUAGCUGGCUGAGUUAGUCCCUUGUUAAAUCCACCGAAUUAAUCGUUGGAUUGCGGGGGAUACUGCUCGGCUAGGGGACGAGAGAGGCAGACGGUAUUUCCGGGGUAGGGGUGAAAUCCUAUAAUCCCGGGAAGACCACCAGUGGCGAAGGCUGUCUGCUAGAACGCGCCCGACGGUGAGGGAUGAAAGCUGGGGGAGCGAACCGGAUUAGAUACCCGGGUAGUCCCAGCUGUAAACGAUGCAGGCUAGGUGUUUGGACGGCCACGUGCCGUUCUAGUGCCGCAGGGAAGCUGUUAAGCCUGCCGCCUGGGGAGUACGAUCGCAAGAUUGAAACUUAAAGGAAUUGGCGGGGGAGCACCAUAAGGGGUGAAG
rnacentral:rRNA from 1 species